rnacentral:rRNA from 1 species
UCAACGGAGAGUUUGAUCCUGGCUCAGGACGAACGCUGGCGGCGUGCUUAACACAUGCAAGUCGAGCGGUAAGGCCCUUCGGGGUACACGAGCGGCGAACGGGUGAGUAACACGUGGGUGAUCUGCCUCGCACUCUGGGAUAAGCCUGGGAAACUGGGUCUAAUACCGGAUAUGACCUUACAUCGCAUGGUGUUUGGUGGAAAGAUUUAUCGGUGCGAGAUGGGCCCGCGGCCUAUCAGCUUGUUGGUGGGGUAAUGGCCUACCAAGGCGACGACGGGUAGCCGGCCUGAGAGGGCGACCGGCCACACUGGGACUGAGACACGGCCCAGACUCCUACGGGAGGCAGCAGUGGGGAAUAUUGCACAAUGGGCGAAAGCCUGAUGCAGCGACGCCGCGUGAGGGAUGACGGCCUUCGGGUUGUAAACCUCUUUCGACAGGGACGAAGCGCAAGUGACGGUACCUGUAGAAGAAGCACCGGCCAACUACGUGCCAGCAGCCGCGGUAAUACGUAGGGUGCGAGCGUUGUCCGGAAUUACUGGGCGUAAAGAGCUUGUAGGCGGCUUGUCGCGUCGAUCGUGAAAACUUGGGGCUCAACCCCAAGCUUGCGGUCGAUACGGGCAGGCUUGAGUACUUCAGGGGAGACUGGAAUUCCUGGUGUAGCGGUGAAAUGCGCAGAUAUCAGGAGGAACACCGGUGGCGAAGGCGGGUCUCUGGGAAGUAACUGACGCUGAGAAGCGAAAGCGUGGGUAGCGAACAGGAUUAGAUACCCUGGUAGUCCACGCCGUAAACGGUGGGUACUAGGUGUGGGUUUCCUUCCACGGGAUCCGUGCCGUAGCUAACGCAUUAAGUACCCCGCCUGGGGAGUACGGCCGCAAGGCUAAAACUCAAAGGAAUUGACGGGGGCCCGCACAAGCGGCGGAGCAUGUGGAUUAAUUCGAUGCAACGCGAAGAACCUUACCUGGGUUUGACAUACACCGGAAACCUGCAGAGAUGUAGGCCCCCUUGUGGUCGGUGUACAGGUGGUGCAUGGCUGUCGUCAGCUCGUGUCGUGAGAUGUUGGGUUAAGUCCCGCAACGAGCGCAACCCUUAUCUUAUGUUGCCAGCGCGUA